ensembl:snoRNA small nucleolar RNA SNORA4
CUACCACAAGCUGGUUUUGAGGGGAAGAUUUUUAGCAGUCGUGGUCAGCCCUAGCUGUGUGGGGGAAUGAAGACCACACCCCACAGUGAGCUGUAUGAUUUAUGUGUGGUUCAUUACUAUUUUAUGGCCCGGAAG